UGAGAGAGUUUAUAUAUGAUCCAGCUCGAGGGGGCGGGGCCUGGGCAAUUCGUGCGUUCUGAAUGUUUUCUCAUUGGCUCGGAGGCCUUCGUUUUAACUCUACUAUUAUUUAAAACGCAUGCAUUUUUUGUUCUUUUUUAAUAUUAGCCAGGGCUUCUAUUUUUAUUGACAUAAAAUGUAUCCUUGGUAGAAAAGUAGGCCUACUGUCAUUAACAAUAAAGUCUAUAUUGAAUUGGAAUGCCUACAAUAUGUAGUUUUGACUAAAACUUUCUAUUAACAGAACAUUUCAAAAUUCGUUUCCAGCCAAUUAAUGAGUGUUAAUUUGAGACUGACAUUGAACCCACAGAGGAACUUGACACCGUUUUAGAAGCACCGAAAACAAAACAAUUAACGAGUCCUCCAGGCUGACCUGAGAACGGUUUUACUUGGCAACCCAAAUAAUUAACAAACGAUUAACGGGGAAACCAAACUCACCACAGACAGACAGGACCGCCAUGUCUUGAGUUCGUCGUGUGGCAGGGGUUAAAGUUGAACCUUCUCCGGCUCAGUGUGUUUGGGGUAAAUCACGCUGCACCUGCACGCGCCCAGACGCUUUUCUCUUCUUGUCAGCGCAAAAAACUCGACCAACAGCGUAAGUUCUCUCUACUGUUGACAGCGAAACGCACAACGUCUACAUGAUCCGGGCGACAAACUGCUGGAGAUUGUUUUCAGCGUGCACGAGGAUGUGUGUGUGUGCACUUUGGCGGGUCCGGCGGUGGCGGCCCGCGAGUGCUGUUACUCAGGAACAAGCAGGGCUUUUAUCACAUCUCCAGCUCUGACUCAGAAACUGCAUUUCGCUGCUCUCUCUCUUUCUUCGGGACGGUGAGCGGACGCAGUUCUCCGCAGCAGUUCAGUGCAGGAGCAGCCGCGCACGGCCUGUCUCUGUGAGUCAGAGGUUUUUACACCUUUCACUAAACUCGCACACACACACACAUACAUCUCUGUCUCUCAGCCUACUCAGGCAUAUGCUGCUUAUGUCGACAUGUUUAUUGCUUUAAAACUGACCCCACAGAGAGAGGGAAUCCCAGGCCCCUGUCUGUCUGUCCUUCGGUCUCUGGAGACGUCAAACCAGCACUCUCGUCUCUGAACGCUCGUGUCAGUUCAACUGAUUGAAUGCUGGGUGAAUGCAAGUAAAGUGAGAUGCUUUUGUAUUUAAUAUCAGUGUAUUCUGUGUGAUUUUAGCGAUCUAAACUGCUAUCAUUUGAGGGGCCUAAACAUUUGAAUCAUAUUUUAUAACAACACCAAAUGAGAAAUGAUCAGAAAGCAGUAACGUCUUGCAUCACCUGUACUCACGCCAGUAGUUCUAUAUAUUGUCAUCUUCUCAUUAUUCGUCACACGCAGACAGAUUGUUGACUACCAGCGUAAACUCCACUUUGCAUCUUAUUCUGUCCUGGCUAAGAUCACAUGUAAAUCAUCCAAACAUUUUUUUUCCCCCCUAGUUUGGAAAACCGAAAAGAGAUGUUACUUUGAAUAGACAGGUAGAGAUUAUUUCACAGACAAAAUGCAUGCACUGAAUUUAUAAUCUUUUUUUAAAAUUCAUUUUAGCAAGCACUUGUAUCCAAAACAAUGUAUUGAAUGCAUCUGUAAUAUUUAAAUGUAAAAUAUAAAUGUCUAUAUAUUUAUAUAAAAUAAAUGAAUAUAUAUAUUUCUAAAACUAUUUAUU
ensembl:lncRNA